UUGUUUUCUGAGAUAAAAUAUUUAUAUUAUCCAAUGUGAGGCGAACAAACUCACCCACUCUCUUCCAGUAUCCAGACUUCUCAUGUCUGUCUUUGAAGCUUCCAUUUCUUCUCACUACCCAGCCCACCUGCAUGCAGUUCAAACAACCGAAUAAUGGGCAGUCAUUAUCCUUAUAAUUUAAAAAAAGAACAGAGGACAAUCCAAGAACCCAAGGCGGCUAGUUAUGUCCAAGUGCUGCAUCACGGAUGAGUCGUCGAGGGGACAUGUGGUUCCCCUUCUUCUCUACAAAAGAAGUGCCAAAGGAAGAGUGAAAGAAAAGGAACUCAAAGACCCAGCAUG